rnacentral:rRNA from 1 species
UACGUAGGGUGCAAGCGUUGUCCGGAAUUAUUGGGCGUAAAGGGCUCGUAGGCGGUUUGUCGCGUCGGGAGUGAAAACCUUGGGCUUAACUCAGGGCUUGCUUUCGAUACGGGCAGACUAGAGGUAUGCAGGGGAGAACGGAAUUCCUGGUGUAGCGGUGAAAUGCGCAGAUAUCAGGAGGAACACCGGUGGCGAAGGCGGUUCUCUGGGCAUGAUCUGACGCUGAGGAGCGAAAGCGUGGGGAGCGAACAGG